rnacentral:rRNA from 1 species
CAGUAGCCGCGGGAAAACGGAGGGUGCGAGCGUUAAUCGGAAUAACUGGGCGUAAAGGGCACGCAGGCGGUGACUUAAGUGAGGUGUGAAAGCCCCGGGCUUAACCUGGGAAUUGCAUUUCAUACUGGGUCGCUAGAGUACUUUAGGGAGGGGUAGAAUUCCACGUGUAGCGGUGAAAUGCGUAGAGAUGUGGAGGAAUACCGAAGGCGAAGGCAGCCCCUUGGGAAUGUACCGACGCUCAUGUGCGAAAGCGUGGGGAGCAAACAGGAUUAGAUACCCGAGUAGUCCCUGUCUCUUAUAC